rnacentral:rRNA from 1 species
UCCAGACUCCUACGGGAGGCAGCAGUGGGGGAUAUUGCACAAUGGGGGGAACCCUGAUGCAGCGACGCCGCGUGGGUGAAGGAGCGUUUCGGCGCGUAAAGCCCUAUCGGCAGGGAAGAAGGAGGACGGUACCUGACUAAGAAGCCCCGGCUAACUACGUGCCAGCAGCCGCGGUAAUACGUAGGGGGCAAGCGUUAUCCGGAUUUACUGGGUGUAAAGGGGGCGCAGACGGCAGCGCAAGCCAGGAGUGAAAGCCCGGGGCCCAACCCCGGGACUGCUCUUGGAACUGCGCGGCUGGAGUGCAGGAGGGGCAGGCGGAAUUCCUGGUGUAGCGGUGAAAUGCGUAGAUAUCAGGAGGAACAUCGGUGGCGAAGGCGGCCUGCUGGACUGCGACUGACGUUGAGGCCCGAAAGCGUGGGGAGCAAACAGGAUUAGAUACCCGUGUAU